CACCCUUAUCUUGGCUUAUUUCCGUUGGGAGUUAGGUGCUUGGUUGGGGGGUGGUCCAGUAUCAAAGCUCGAACACCAUGUGGGCUGCUCAGACGGGAUCACCGGGGCUCCCUGUCACCGUCUUCUCCACGGCAACCACACAAUCUAAGAGGAUAACUUGUGCCAUCGCCGUCUCAGCCUUCUUGCGGCAGAGACGGCUGCAUCGAUUCGCCUUCUCGCAUCAUCAUGACAUCGCUGCACAGGGCGCCGGGGGCCUAGGCCGCGUUAUCUUCUCCGCUUCUAAAUCGAGCGGCAACUCACCAUAUUCGAAAUCCACCCCGCCAAAUCCAACUCCAGAAACCGAACUAGAGAGACAGCUCAGAGGCUCAGAUGUUUUGUGGGCUCUACGGAGAGCCGCUGAUGAGAAAAAAAAAAUCAGUGAGGCCAAGAAGAAGAAGAAGGAGGAGGAGGAGAAUGAGAGAAGGGGCUCUUCAACCUCAAUGGGCAGGAGGGAAAUGGAGGACAGUGCUUUGGAUUAUCGCGAGGUGAGACCUUUGCGUAUAAAGAGCGAUUGGAAGACUCGGUUGGAUGAGUUGGGGAAGCGUCUUCAAGAGCUUUCUAGAGUCGCUUGAGUUAGGUCAAAUUGCUAUCUCAUUGUAGAAAGCACUAUUCCUAUGUUGGAGACUAACAUUAAACCCGCAAGAAAGGAGAAAGGCGAGAUGGUACAAGUUUGAUCUUAGACUUUUGAAGGCUUGGCUUAAGGUAAUCGUCAUGAUGUGUGGAUAUAGAGAUCGGGAUAAUCUUUGGCUGCAAGUAAUUGUCAUGAUGUGUGGAUAUAGAGAUCGGGAUAUGUUUUUGGCUUCAACAUAGAGUAUGUCUUUUUGCUGAAGGCUGAAGAAAGUUAGUAGAACAAAAAGUUUAGAAUCUUUGGGCUUCACUUGGAAGGCCAAAACAUCAAGAUUUAUUCUUUUUCAGUCGAUGCCAGAAAGCUCUUAAAUUAGGAAUGUAGAAUAAGGAUGGUGCAAGGAUCUCUUAUGUGUCCCCAAGAACUAAUGGGUUUAAUGCUAAAUUUUGCAAAGUUUGUUGGAACCUUAUAGAGGCUGAUGUAGUUGCUGCCA